rnacentral:lncRNA from 1 species
GUUUGGGCACAGUUCUGAAACAAAAGGUACAAAGGAGCCAAGUUGUUGGGGCAGGGGGAGGGAAGAAAGUUGGUUUGAUUUUGAGAGGCUUGGAAGAUCAUUAAAAUUUCAUAACAGGCAGGGAAAAAAAAAAAAAAAGGUUGUUUGCUUCUAAGGUCUCUGGUGUUUAAAGAGCUCAAGACAAAACUGCCGAGCAGAAUAUUCCAGUUUAUCCCGUGGAAUAGGAAGGAAUGGCCCCAGAUGUAAUUACAAGAGAAAUUCACAGAGCCCAGUGCAAAGAGUGCAAAAGAGCCCAGAAGUGCCAGGGGCAAAAUGCGAUGGAUGAUUUCCAAUAUCACUGACUUCCCAAUCUGCUCCCACCCCUGGACAGAAAUCUUGGCUGCCUCAGGGAUGCAGUUUGCAACCUCUCUGCUCCAACAGUUUGACACCGACGGAAGAUGCGGAAGGACAAUCUGUGCCAGAUCUCUGCUCCACGCUGCAUCCAAAUGUGGUAAAACCCUGGAAAGCUCUGACGUAGGAGGGCCCUGCUUGUCCUGGUCUGAUCCUGAAUGACACUGACACCCACUGACUUCUCCCUGGAACAGAUGCUGCUUAGGAAAAACACCCAGAUCUGGAUAAACGAUAGGAAAAAAAAAGGUUUAUUUCCAAAAUACAGACUUUAAAUACAGGGCACUGGCAUGUGUGGUAGGGAUGGAACACAACAUUGACCAAAUUCCUCAUGUCCUGGCUUUAUUGCCCUACUGGAUAUGGAGAAAGGGAAAGAAUAAAGCCUUCCCAGGCAGGAAUAAAGCUCA